rnacentral:rRNA from 1 species
UACAGAGGUCCCAAGCGUUGUUCGGAUUCACUGGGCGUAAAGGGUGCGUAGGCGGUCGGGUAAGUCUGAUGUGAAAUCUCACAGCUUAACUGUGAAACUGCAUUGGAUACUAUCCGGCUCGAGGAAUGGAGGGGAGACUGGAAUACUUGGUGUAGCAGUGAAAUGCGUAGAUAUCAAGUGGAACACCAGUGGCGAAGGCGAGUCUCUGGACAUUUACUGACGCUGAGGCACGAAAGCCAGGGGAGCAAACGGG